UGACGAAGCUAAGGACUGAGAAAUUGGAGAAACAAUUACAUAAGGUAAGGAAAGAAAACAGGGUAAAUGAGUGCACAAAUAAGAUGUAUCGAGCGUUGAAGGAAAUUGAUAUUCCUGCUGACAUGAACCCUUACGAUCUGAACGAUUUGAGUUUCGUUAUAAAACAAAACCUCAAACAGGUAUGUGAAAUGAUGAAAGCGAAGAUUGACGGAGAGGGUUCCACAUUAAAUGCCCGUCAACCUAUGGUACCUCAUGGGACCAACUCUGAGGAGCCAAGGGCUCAUUUGCUAGAAAAAAUUAGGGCUCCAGUAUCAAUAGUUCCUUUGGUGGCUCCAUCAACUGCUAUUGGUGCAGCCAACUUCGAAGGGCUUAGUACUGAUAUGUUG
rnacentral:misc_RNA from 1 species